GACGAACGCUGGCGGCGUGCUUAACACAUGCAAGUCGAACGGAAAGGCGCUGCUUUUGUGGGGUGCUCGAGUGGCGAACGGGUGAGUAACACGUGAGUAACAUGCCCUUGACUUUGGGAUAACUUCAGGAAACUGGGGCUAAUAUCGGAUAGGAGCUCCUGCUGCAUGGUGGGGGUUGGAAAGAUUCGGCGGUUGGGGAUGGACGCGCGGCUUAUGCGCUUGUUGGGGGGGUAGGGGCUUACAAAGGCUUUGACGGGUAGCCGGCAUGAGAGGGUGACCGGCCACAUUGGGACUGCGAUACGGCCCAGACUCCUACGGGAGGCAGCAGUGGGGAAUAUUGCACAAUGGGCGGAAGCCUGAUGCAGCAACGCCGCGUGCGGGAUGACGGCCUUCGGGGGGUAAACCGCUUUCGCCUGUGACGAAGCGUGAGUGACGGUAACGGGUAAAGAAGCACCGGCUAACUACGUG
rnacentral:rRNA from 1 species